rnacentral:lncRNA from 1 species
CGAUUUCAUUACAGGCAGCCGUGCUGUGAAUUUCCAGACAUUGUAAGUGAUCUACUUCGUCAUUGCUACGCCUACGGAUGAUGUCUACACUUUUAUUAAACAGACUGUACAUAUACAAAUUUAUAAUCACAGAGGAUAUAAGUUCAUAGCAGUGAAUAUUAUGCACUGCAUCCUGGUGUUAUAAGAACAAACAGUUCAUGGAAUUGCUAUUUUGACUACUUGAUCUCAUUGUGUCAGGGAGCACCAGAAGAUAGUCAAAGCAAAAGGUAAAAUGACAAUGGUCCUGCAACACUGAAGUGCAUUGUUGAAUUUACAAGAACAAAAUAUGAUUGUGCUGCAUGUCUUUAGACAGAAGUUUCAUUGUAAGGCACCAAGUGACAAGAGGAUAGUGAAGUGAUAAAAUGAAUUUCUAGAGAUUAGAGGUGUACACGUGAUCAGAGGAAAGAAUAUUUAGGAUGGCGACCUGCCAAUCUGGAAGGUGUGUGUGUGUGUGUGAGAAUUAUUUGAAUGCAGCCCUAAGAAGUUCCAUGCACAGAAUUAGUUGGGAAUUAGAGAUCUCUAAAUCCACAAUGUCUAAGAUCUUAUGCACAUAUCUGAGGCUUCAUCCUUACAAAUUGCAAAUGAUUCAUAAGUUUUAUCCAGAUGACCAAACAAAAGACUGUGAACAUUUAUUGAUAUUAAUGGAGAAUGAGCAAGAUUUACUAUAGUCUUUUUCACUUUAACAUUGGUCCGAUGUCACGAAACGACGUCUCCAUGUGGCCUAAGCACCUAACAACCGUGUUCCUUCACCAAUAGAUAUUUUAAUGUAUAAAUAGGAAUUAUUAUAAGCAAAUGUUAAUUGCAUUCUUCUUAA